CCCUAGCCCAGAUGGAAGCAAAUAUCCUUUUAUGCCGGGGUUCGGCAUAAAAGAUAUUGCGGACAGCUGGAAUAAGC
rnacentral:sRNA from 1 species